GACGAACGCUGGCGGCGUGCCUAAUACAUGCAAGUAGAACGCUGAAGGAGGAGCUUGCUUCUCUGGAUGAGUUGCGAACGGGUGAGUAACGCGUAGGUAACCUGCCUGGUAGCGGGGGAUAACUAUUGGAAACGAUAGCUAAUACCGCAUAAGAGUAGAUGUUGCAUGACAUUUGCUUAAAAGGUGCAAUUGCAUCACUACCAGAUGGACCUGCGUUGUAUUAGCUAGUUGGUGGGGUAACGGCUCACCAAGGCGACGAUACAUAGCCGACCUGAGAGGGUGAUCGGCCACACUGGGACUGAGACACGGCCCAGACUCCUACGGGAGGCAGCAGUAGGGAAUCUUCGGCAAUGGACGGAAGUCUGACCGAGCAACGCCGCGUGAGUGAAGAAGGUUUUCGGAUCGUAAAGCUCUGUUGUAAGAGAAGAACGAGUGUGAGAGUGGAAAGUUCACACUGUGACGGUAUCUCACCAGAAAGGGACGGCUAACUACGUG
rnacentral:rRNA from 1 species